GAUAAACGCUGGCGGCGUGCCUAAUACAUGCAAGUCGAACGAGGAGUUCUUGUAGCAAUACGGGGACUUCCUAGUGGCGAAUGGGUGAGUAACGCGUUGGUGACCUACCCCAAAGAGAGGAAUAACUCCGGGAAACUGGAGCUAAUACCCCAUGUGGUUACCAGGGUUAGAGGCCUGGCAACUGAAGGAGCAAUCCGCUUUGGGAGGGACCUGCGUCCCAUCAGCUUGUUGGUAGGGUAACGGCCUACCAAGGCUACGACGGGUAGGGGGCCUGAGAGGGUGGCCCCCCACACUGGCACGGAAACACGGGCCAGACACCUACGGGUGGCAGCAGUAGGGAAUAUUGCACAAUGGGCGAAAGCCUGAUGCAGCAACGCCGCGUGCGCGAUGAAGACCUUCGGGUUGUAAAGCGCUUUUCUGAAAGACGAGGAAGGACGGUACUUCAGGAAUAAGGAUCGGCUAACUACGUGCCAGCAGCCGCAGUAAAAC
rnacentral:rRNA from 1 species